GAUCAUGGCUCAGAUUGAACGCUGGCGGCAGGCUUAACACAUGCAAGUCGAACGAUGGAACCUAGCUUGCUAGGGGAAAUAGUGGCGAACGGGUGAGUAAUAUUUAGGAAACUGCCUUAUAGAGGGGGAUAGCUCGGGGAAACUCGAAUUAAUACCGCAUACGUCCUACGGGAGAAAGGAGCUUUAGGGUUCUGCUAUAAGAUGUGCCUAAAUUAGAUUAGCUAGAUGGUGAGGUAAAGGCUCACCA
rnacentral:rRNA from 1 species